rnacentral:rRNA from 1 species
GGACUGAGAGGUUGAAACGGCCACAUUUGGGACUGAGACACGGCCCAGACUCCUACGGGAGGCAGCAGUGGGGGAUAUUGCACAAUGGGGGAAACCCUGAUGCAGCAACGCCGCGUGUGGGAAGAAGGUUUUCGGAUUGUAAACCACUGUUCUUGGUGAAGAUAAUGACGGUAACCAAGGAGAAAGCUCCGGCUAACUACGUGCCAGCAGCCGCGGUAAUACGUAGGGAGCAAGCGUUGUCCGGAUUUACUGGGUGUAAAGGGUGCGUAGGCGGCUAGGCAAGUCAGACGUGAAAACCAUGGGCUCAACCUGUGGACUGCGUUUGAAACUGUUUAGCUUGAGUGAAGUAGAGGUAGGCGGAAUUCCCGGUGUAGCGGUGAAAUGCGUAGAGAUCGGGAGGAACACCAGUGGCGAAGGCGGCCUACUGGGCUUUAACUGACGCUGAGGCACGAAAGCAUGGGUAGCAAACAGGAUUAGAUACCCUGGUAGUCCAUGCCGUAAACGAUGAUUACUAGGUGUGGGGGGUGUGACCCCCUCCGUGCCGGAGUUAACACAAUAAGUAAUCCACCUGGGGAGUACGGCCGCAAGGUUGAAACUCAAAGGAAUUGACGGGGGCCCGCACAAGCAGUGGAGUAUGUGGUUUAAUUUGAAGCAACGCGAAGAACCUUACCAGGUCUUGACAUCCGACUAACGAAGUAGAGAUACAUUAGGUGCCUUUCGGGGAAAGUCGAGACAGGUGGUGCAUGGUUGUCGUCAGCUCGUGUCGUGAGAUGUUGGGUUAAGUCCCGCAACGAGCGCAACCCUUGUCAUUAGUUGUUACGGUAAGAGCACUCUAAUGAGACUGCCGUUGACAAAACGGAGGAAGGUGGGGAGGACGUCAAAUCAUCAUGCCCCUUAUGACCUGGGGUACACACGUACUACAAUGGCCGUUAACAGAGGGAGGCAAUACCGCGAGGUGGAGCAAAACCCUAAAAACGGUCCCAGUUCGGAUUGUAGGGUGAAACUCGCCUACAUGAAGUUGGAAGUGCUAGUAAUCGCGGAUCAGCAUGCCGCGGUGAAUAAGUUCCCGGGCCGUGCACA